AUACGGAGGGUGCAAGCGUUACUCGGAAUCACUGGGCGUAAAGCGCGCGCAGGCGGUCUUUUAAGAUGGAUGUGAAAGCCUACGGCUCAACCGUAGAACUGCAUCCAAAACUAUUAGACUAGAGUUUGGGAGAGGAAGAUGGAAUUAGUUGUGUAGGGGUAAAAUCCGUAGAGAUAACUAGGAAUACCAAAAGCGAAGGCAAUCUUCUGGAACACUACUGACGCUGAGGCGCGAAAGCGUGGGGAGCAAACAGGAUUAGAAACCCUAGUAGUCC
rnacentral:rRNA from 1 species